GACGAACGCUGGCGGCGUGCCUAAUACAUGCAAGUAGAACGCUGAAGGAGGAGCUUGCUUCUCUGGAUGAGUUGCGAACGGGUGAGUAACGCGUAGGUAACCUGCCUGGUAGCGGGGGAUAACUAUUGGAAACGAUAGCUAAUACCGCAUAAUAGUAGAUGUUGCAUGACAUUUGCUUAAAAGGUGCAAUUGCAUCACUGCCAGAUGGACCUGCGUUGUAUUAGCUAGUUGGUGAGGUAACGGCUCACCAAGGCGACGAUACAUAGCCGACCUGAGAGGGUGAUCGGCCACACUGGGACUGAGACACGGCCCAGACUCCUACGGGAGGCAGCAGUAGGGAAUCUUCGGCAAUAGACGGAAGUCUGACCGAGCAACGCCGCGUGAGUGAAGAAGGUUUUCGGAUCGUAAAGCUCUGUUGUAAGAGAAGAACGAGUGUGAGAGUGGAAAGUUCACACUGUGACGGUAUCUUACCAGAAAGGGACGGCUAACUACGUG
rnacentral:rRNA from 1 species